rnacentral:lncRNA from 1 species
AUCAUGUUCCUCUCAGACUGCGUGGAGGGGAGGGCCGGUGCUCUGGGAGGCUGGAGGUGUAUCAUAACGCUGUGUGGGGCUCAGUCUGUGAUGAUCAGUGGGACAUCAGCGAUGCUCAGGUGGUCUGCAGGCAGCUGGGUUGUGGAGCAGCACUGAGGGCUGAUGGGAAUUCAGUCUUUGGUGCUGGUGAAGGUGUUGUGUGGAUGAACAAAGUCGAGUGCAGAGGGAAUGAGAUUCACCUGUGGGACUGUCCUCUCUCCCUGAAUAACCACACUGACUGCUCCCACAAGAAGCUUGUUACACUCGACUGUAAAGAUUUGCCAGUGUUCAGUACUUCUGGCGCAUCAAGAUUAGUCUCUCCUCCACAAACUCCUCCACCAGCGUCUCCCCCAGUGCUUGUGAUUGUUCUGGGAGUUGUGCUCUUACUGCUCUUAGUGUCACUGCUUACACUGAUUCAACGAAAGAGAGUGAUGAGGAGAGCUCUCUCUGACUGGUACACAGGACGACACAGGACACAGACUGAGGCUGUUUAUCAUGAGAUUCAUCACAGACAGCAUCACUUCACUCAGAGGGAGGAAGAUCAGGAGGAGGAUGAUGAUGUGAAGAACACAAUGAAGAUGAGAGAAACCUAGACUAUGACGGUGUGGGGGAGGAGUCAUAUAAAGAGGGAGGGGCCAUAUGACUCAAUGACCACACCCACUAUUUCUGUUCAUGAAAUCAUAUUACAGUUACCGGAGCUACUGGGACUUUCUUAUAUUGCUACUAAUGCAUCAAUGUGUUUUUAUGUUAUUUCUAUUUUUUUAUUGUCUUUGUCUAAAAUUUAGGUAACAAUGAAUUGUUAGUUAUUUGUGUCUAUUUCUAGUUAUUUAGUCUUUAUUUAUUUUUUGUUACACUUUCUUAUAUUGCUACUAAUGCAUCAAUGUGUUUUUAUGUUAUUCUAUUUUUUUAUGCUUUGCAAAAUUUGGUAACAAUGAAUGUUAGUAUUUGUGCAUUUCAGUUAUUUAGCUUAUUUAUUUUUUGUACUGAUAUUAAUGUCUUUUUACCUAAUGAACAAAUAAGCAAAUUAUAUUAUUCAUUCAGUCUAUUUACCGCGUUUUAAAGAGCAGUUUAAAGCAAAACUAGACUGCAGAGAUUUAUUGCACACUUCAUGUAAAAUGUGAUUUAAAAAACAUUUCACACACACAUUUAUACACCUGUCCCAACUGCAGAGUUUACUGUGUGAUGGUGUACUUCAACUACUUCAGCUUUAAAAUGCUUUAAAUGACUUCGAACUGUUUUAAGUCUUGUUUUGUGGCUGAUUAUUUGCUUUGAGCUUGAAUCUUUUGCAGAAAUAGCUCCAUCUGCAGUUUAAGGUUGGGAUGAUCCUUUCCAGCUUUUUUCUUUUCAGACACGGUUAUGUGCCUUUUUUUUAUUAUUUCUUCAGCUCACACAACAACACACACACACACACACACACACACACACACACACAUAUUUGUUUCACUGUAUUAGUCAGGACAUCUCAUAAACUUAAAUGUUUUGAUGACAGCUGAAAAAUAUUUUCUAUUGUAUAACCCGACCCUCUUACCCCUAACAAUAACCAUCACAGAAACUACCCACUACUCAAAUACUGAAGCCUUAUUUGUGCAGAAAGGGAGUGGGAAACAGCCUAUAUAAGCAGCGCGGAGUGGCAUUUAAUCAGAAUAUUUCUCCUUCAUUAUAAUCAGACAUAUACACAAGUCUCUGACGUCCAAGUCAAGUAUCAAGUCUUUGUUCUAUUUAUUAGCAACAGUUCUUUCAGAUAGUUAUUGAUGCUAAAUUGGUUUUGUAAUACUGAUUUCACAAUGUGAAUUCUCAAAAUAUACUUUAACAAAAUGUAAGACAAAUUAGAAAUGAAAAGGUGUCCAUUAUUAAUUGUCAGACAAAAUGCUGCACAUUUCUUUGUAAAACUGCAGAUAGUUAUUGAUGCUAAAUUGGUUUUGUAAUACUGAUUUCACAAUGUGAAUUCUCAAAAUAUACUUUAACAAAAUGUAAGACAAAUUAGAAAUGAAAAAGGUGUCCAUUAUUAAUUGUCAGACAAAAUGCUGCACAUUUCUUUGUAAAAUCCAACAACAAAACUAAACAAAAUGUCCAACAACAAAACUAAACUGAAAUUUUAAAACAAACCCCAAUCAAUCAAAUGAAUAACACAAAUUAAAUAAAUCUCAUAUAAACAAACUAAGGCUUUGUGCUCUUUUUCAAUUUAAAAUUAGAGGCAACCACAGUAUUUUAAACACAACACAAUCCUAACAAAGAGGCUGCAGCAUGAGCAGUUUUUAAUCUACAUUGGAUUGUAUAACUAAGAAAUUCAAAAGCAAAAACGAAAUGUUCUGACUUUUAUUUUUGUAAAAAUAUCCUACAUAAAACAUCUGCACGAAACAAAACAGCAGAAAGGCUGCAGAUUGACUCUCUGCUAGAAGGUGGCGCUUGAACAGCAAUUAAACGUCAUUUCUUUGGUUGCCCUGUAAACAAAGCAGCGCUGCGGUUAUGAACACUACUUUAAUAUGCAUUAUACAGAAGCAAGAUAAAAAGAAAAUACCAUCUAAACUUUUCUAAAGACAACCAGUUCCCCUCAGAGAUACAUUCAUAUAAACUCCCAUACCAAAUGACUUGUGUUCUUUACGAGUCUCAUGAGUCAGGAGUCCAAGUCAAGUCUCGAAUAUUUAUAUAUAUAUGACUUAAACAGACUCGAGUUUCCAUCUCUGAUUAUAAUGCUUAGGUCUUUGCCGUUGAUGCAUCGCCAAAAAGGAUUGUGGAAUAUGCUUUGCUAAUCCCUUUACUAAGGCCCUGUACUCACGAACGCAGGUAUUUUCAAAACCGCAGUAUUUUCUACGCGGUUUCACUGUUCUUUCACACACAGCACCAGGUCACUGAAACCGAACAUUUUUGAAAACUCCUGUCAGGGUAAGAUUUUCAAAAACUCCGGUUGCAGUGUUAUCUUGUAGACAGCGAAACCGGAGAUUUUGGCUUGUGACGUCGGAGCAUGUGCUGUUAUCUCCACCUACUUGAAACUUUUUCAGGCUUCUGAUUGGCCAACAUGGCUUUAUGGUUGAGAUUACAUUGCCACCUGUUGGCUUGGCAUGCUCUUGACAGUGCUUCAUAGCAUGCUUUUGCGUAUUCAUGUGGACUGUUUUUUUUUUUAUAAACAUAAGAAGGAAAAAUUCAGUUUAUAAAAAUACCCCUGUACGUAGGAUCGCCGAUGGAGUCGAACUUGUGUCUUCUGUCUGCCCUCGCCCACACAGAUGCAGCCACUGAGGCCCCUAACUGUUAUAAUUAUAACUUGUUAUAAUUAAUUAUAACUAUUUGGAUCAGCUAAUGUAAUUCUGUUACUCCCGGUGUUAAUUGUUUAUUAAUUCUAAGAAAUGUUUAUUUUGGGGUAUGGGAAAUAAAUAAUGUCCUUAUUGUACAAUACUACUCAGAGCAUAUAGCCAAAAUCUGCGAGAUUAGGGAGUGUGGACUCAGUUAUGAGCAAAACAACAUUUAACCUUUAGUGUGAUCCACACGAGACUUUAUUAACUACACUAGACACUUAAACUAAUAUAACACAUACACGCACAGUUUAGCAAUUGAAAGGGAGC